GCCCUCGGUGUGGGGGAGUAGCCGGGCUAACGCCCGGGUAAUACCGCAUACGGUCAUCGAGAGGAGUCUCUUGGUGAAGAAAGCUCCGGCGCACGGGAGGGGUUCGCGGCCUAUCAGCUAGUUGGUGCGGUAACGGCGCACCAAGGCGACGACGGGUAGCUGGUCUGAGAGGAUGGCCAGCCACAUUGGGACUGAGAGACGGCCCAG
rnacentral:rRNA from 1 species